CACGUAGGGUGCGAGCGUUGUCCGGAAUUAUUGGGCGUAAAGAGCUCGUAGGCGGUUUGUUGCGUCGGCUGUGAAAUCCCGAGGCUCAACCUCGGGUCUGCAGUCGAUACGAGCAAACUAGAGUGUUGCAGGGGAGACUGGAAUUCCUGGUGUAGCGGUGAAAUGCGCAGAUAUCAGGAGGAACACCGGUGGCGAAGGCGGGUCUCUGGGCAACAACUGACGCUGGAGGAGCGAAAGCCGUGGGGAGCGAAACAGG
rnacentral:rRNA from 1 species